AACGUAGGACGCAAGCGUUGUUCGGAAUUACUGGGCGUAAAGGGCGCGUAGGUGGCCUUCUAAGUUGAACGUGAAAUCCCUGGGCUCAACCCAGGAACUGCGUCCAAGACUGGGAGGCUUGAAUCCGGGAGAGGGAUGCGGAAUUCCAGGUGUAGCGGUGAAAUGCGUAGAUAUCUGGAGGAACACCGGUGGCGAAGGCGGCAUCCUGGACCGGUAUUGACACUGAGGCGCGGAAAGCCAGGGGAGCAAACGGG
rnacentral:rRNA from 1 species